rnacentral:rRNA from 1 species
GACAAGGUUCCAGGCCCUACGGGGUGCAGCAGGCGCGAAACCUCCGCAAUGUGAGAAAUCGCGACGGGGGGAUCCCAAGUGCCAUUCUUAACGGGAUGGCUUUUCUUAAGUGUAAAGAGCUUUUGGAAUAAGGGCUGGGCAAGACCGGUGCCAGCCGCCGCGGUAACACCGGCAGCUCUAGUGGUAGCAGUUUUUAUUGGGCCUAAAGCGUCCGUAGCCGGUUUAAUAAGUCUCUGGUGAAAUCCUGUAGCUUAACUGUGGGAAUUGCUGGAGAUACUAUUAGACUUGAGACCGGGAGAGGUUGGAGGUACUCCCAGGGUAGAGGUGAAAUUCUGUAAUCCUGGAGGACCGCCUGUUGCGAAGGCGUCCAACUGGAACGGUUCUGACGGUGAGGGACGAAAGUUAGGGGCGCGAACCGGAUUAGAUACCCGGGUAGUCCUAACUGUAAACGAUGCGGACUUGGUGUUGGGGUGGCUUUGAGCUGCUCCAGUGCCGAAGGGAAGCUGUUAAGUCCGCCGCCUGGGAAGUACGGUCGCAAGACUGAAACUUAA